UUUGGUAUAAAAGAAAGAAGAGAGAAAUAGAAGAGAAAGAAAUGUUAUUAUUUUUAAAAAGACAAAAAUAUCCUUAAUAAGAUAACAUUACACUUUAUGAUUAAUUAAAAAACCAAUGGCAUAAUAGACUUUUUUGUCUUCUUCCCUCUUUCUUCACACUUUUAAAGAGAAACAAAAAAGGUAUGGGCCCACCAUUUAUUCUUCUCUCUUCUCAAUUUCUCUUCUUGCCAAACAAAAAAAACUCCAACUUCUCUUUUUUUUUCUCUCUUCUCUAUCUCUCUCCUCUAUUUCUCUCUUCUCUAUCUCUAGAGAUAAACCAUAUUUCAUUUGUCAUGUUUAAAUAAUUGGCCAAUUAGCAUUUAUUUUGGUUUUGUAACCUUUGGAUCCUUGAAUCAUUGGUUGUCAUGAUAGCUCUUAUUCUUCUUCUCCUUCAUUUUCAGGUCUUUGCUUCUUUUAGUUUAUUCAAUUGAUAAUCUACAUGGAAAUGAAUUUAUUACUGUGGUGGAAAAUAAAUCCUUGUGCUAUGUUGACUCAUGAAUGUUGGAUUCAAAUAAUUAUAUGAAAGCUUGCUUGAACAAUCAUGACCCAGGUUGAACAAUAAGGUUUGGCGAUUUGAUCUUUUAAUUGAAUGGAGUCUUUUUUAGAGUUUUGCUUCAUAUUUGUACAAAUUUUCU
rnacentral:lncRNA from 1 species